UUGAGGCUUAUUUUGGAGACCUGACUUUAAAGACUCAAGACUAUUAGACACUAUUAUGUCUUUGAGGCCCUCCUGUAUCUCAGCUUAAAGUGCAGAACCAGGACAACUAGAUUGUGCUUUAAAAUAAACUGACCUUCAGAAAUCUAUUCUUUAACCCAUUUCUGAAAGAUCCUAAAAGUUUGUUUAAAAUUACAUUUUUUAAUGAUUUAUGAAGAAAAAAAUGACUUUUUUUUAGAUAAAGUAAAAAAGGAUAAAGAGAAAAAAACAUAAUCCUAGGCACACUUAAUAUUUCUCAUCAUUUUAUUGAAAUAUAUGAUUCAUUUUUUUUUUCCAUUUUCCUAUAAGUUUUCCAUCAAAAAGGGGGAAUAAGAUAAAAUAGGAUGACAGUUCACCAAAGCAGACCUAAGGUAUAAAAAAAGAAAAUGCCAUUUUCAUCUUGUGUUGUUUAAAACUGUUUGUAGGAGUCAUUCUCAUGGUCAGUCAAUGGUGGGAGUACUUCAGCUGCAGUGGGAUGAUCCUGUUUGGCACAGGAAGUAUUUUAUUUAAAAAGAUAGUUUUCUAUCAAAAGGAAAAAAUCUUUGGAUUUUGAGAAAAUACGCUUUUCCUUUUAUUUAUGUCUUAAUUCCGGUCAAAAAAGAAAUAUAAUACAUUUUUAUUAUUUAAAAAAAAAAGAACAACCCUGGCAUCAUUCCAAAAGCGCCCUUGAUUAUAGAGCGUGCUUUUGGAAUGAUGAAGACAAGAUUCAGAGGCAUCUUCCUGCAAGUGCUGGAGGUUGUCUCAGCUUUUGCCAUCCUCCACAAUAUCUGCUCCUGUGCUGACGACACCGAGGCCCCAGAGGAUGAUGUGGAGGUGAUGAUGAGGAGGAAGCUGGUUUGAAGGUCACCAGUGGUGCUCUCUGGCAGGACCAACUACCUGCUGAGGUUUCUGCCCUGGGGGAGGUACCACCUGACCUUGAUUACUUUUAACAGCAUCCGUCCACAGCAACCCUGUAAACCCUGAAGAUGGACGAUGCAGU